rnacentral:rRNA from 1 species
AACGAACGCUGGCGGCAGGCCUAACACAUGCAAGUCGAGCGAAGCCUUCGGGCUUAGCGGCGGACGGGUGAGUAACGCGUGGGAACGUGCCCUUUGGUACGGAAUAGCCCCGGGAAACUGGGAGUAAUACCGUAUGUGGUCGAGAGACGAAAGAUUUAUCGCCAAAGGAUCGGCCCGCGUUGGAUUAGGUAGGUGGUGGGGUAAUGGCCUACCAAGCCGACGAUGCAUAGCUGGUUUGAGAGGAUGAUCAGCCACACUGGGACGGAGACACGGCCCAGACUCCUACGGGAGGCAGCAGUGGGGAAUCUUAGAAAAUGGGGGAAGCCCUGAUCUAGCCAUGCCGCGUGAUCGAUGAAGGCCUUAGGGUUGUAAAGAUCUUUCAGUGGGGAAGAUAAUGACUGUACCCACAGAAGAAGCCCCGGCUAACUCCGUGCCAGCCGCCGCAGUAAAAC